rnacentral:rRNA from 1 species
CGCGUAGGAAUCUACCUGGUAGUGGGGGACAACUCGGGGAAACUCGAGCUAAUACCGCGUACGCUCCUUCUCACGAAGGAGGAAAGUGGGGGAUCUUCGGACCUCACGCUAUCAGAGGAGCCUGCGUUGGAUUAGCUUGUUGGUGAGGUAAUGGCUCACCAAGGCGACGAUCUAUAGCUGGUCUGAGAGGACGAUCAGCCACACUGGAACUGAGACACGGUCCAGACUCCUACGGGAGGCAGCAGUAGGGAAUAUUGGGCAAUGGGCGAAAGCCUGACCCAGCGAUGCCGCGUGUGUGAA